rnacentral:misc_RNA from 1 species
GUGGAGGAGGACGCCGAAGGUGGGGCUAAUGACUGGGGUGAAGUCGUAACAAGGUAGCCGUACCGGAAGGUGCGGCUGGAUCACCUCCUAACAGGGAGACAACAAAAUGUUUAAUAUUAUUAUUUUGUCACCUUAGGUCGAUCGGUAUCUCACAUUCUUAAUUCAUUAAGAAUUUCAUUUCCUAAGUUUUUCUAGGUCACACCCAUUAUUUUUCCUGGGCCAUUAGCUCAGGUGGUUAGAGCGCACCCCUGAUAAGGGUGAGGUCCCUGGUUCAAGUCCAGGAUGGCCCAUAUCUCUAUGUUGGGGGUAUAGCUCAGUUGGUAGAGCGCCUGCUUUGCAAGCAGGAUGUCAGCGGUUCGAGUCCGCUUACCUCCACUGAUUACCACCUCUUUCAUAACUGUUAGUACAGGAAAUGUUUUGAGUUGUGAUCAAAUUCUGAAAGAAUCUAGCUUCCUAAUGAAGUCAUUAAGAUGCUGGACUCAUUGAAUUAAUUUCAUUGUUUUCAGAGAACCUUGACAACUGCAUAGAUUAUUUUUAAAGACAAUAAGCAUCUUUAAUGAUGCAGAUUUAUUAUUUGUGCGAAUGCAUUAAUAACAAUUCUAUUAAGCUGAUGCUUCAAUUUUUGAAGUUAUUGGUCAAGCUACAAAGGGCUCACGGAGGAUACCUAGGCA